AAGUUAAAAAAAAAAAAUAGCCAGAAUGGUGCUCGGGAGGAAGAGAAAGAGGAUCAGAAGUCCAAGGCUAUUCUCAGCUAUAUAACACGUUCAAAGCCAGCCUGGACUACAUGCAUCUGUCUCAAAAAGAGAGAGCACAAAUCACCAUUCUCUGUGGACCACACUAGUAAGAGUAGAAAGUAGACUUUGCAGACAGAUGCCCACACUGAGUGAAGUACCUAAGGAGGCCAGUAGAGGGCACCAGAUCUCCCGGAACUGAAAUUACAGACUUUCCUGAGCCACUAUGUCAGUGCUGGGAACUGAACCCAGGUGCCCUGCAAGAGCAUACAGGGCUAUCAACUGAUGAACCAUCUCCCCAGCCCGCAACCAGUAAAAUUUAAACCACAAACUUUUUUUUUAAGUAAAAUAAAAAAAAAUCCAAUAUACUUUGAAAUGAUUUCUUGUUUUUUUUUUGUUUGUUUGUUUUGUUUUUUGUUUUUUUUUUUUUAGACCCUCUUGUGUUAUGUUUUUUGAAAACUGUCUUAUGAGAGGAUGUUUUACUGAGGACACCCAUAGCAUUUUUCUGGAAGUUGCCUAAAAAAGGGCAUACGAUGUUUUUGCUGGAAUGGACACUUGAGAGAACACAUAAUGUUUGAAAGGGUAUAAAUAUAACCAAACAGACAGUGGAUGGCAUUGUAUGGUAUUGAUUUACCUUUCUGCUCUUGACUGAUCAUCAUUUGUCAUGACUUCCUAAAGAGAAACACACCUAAAACUUCUGGUGGCAUUCCAGCGGCUUCUUGCCGCUUCCACGGACUCAAGCUGAUUGGGAGAACCUCACAUUUUCUUCUAGAUCGAACUGCCACUGCUGAUUAAUGAAUGGUGUUUGUGAGUGGCGCGAACUAUGGCUACUAAUUCAUAUAAAUUAAACUGCUAAUAUCCUGACAACACAGAUUGGAUUUGCCCCCCCCAAAAUAUUUCUGGGGCUGGAAAGAUGGCUCAGUAUUUAGAACUACUGGAAGUGUACUCUUCCAGUGAUCCUGAGUUUAAUUCCCAGCAACCACAUGGUGGCUCACAACUAUCUAUCUAUAAUGAGCUCUGAUGCCCUCUUCUGGCAUGCAGGUGAACAUGCAGAUAGAGCACUCACAAAUUAAAUAAAAAUUAAAAUAAAACUAUUUCUAAAC
rnacentral:lncRNA from 1 species